AAACCAACUGGGAUUACCUUAGUAACGGCGAGUGAAGCGGUAAAAGCUCAAAUUUGAAAUCUGGUACUUUCAGUGCCCGAGUUGUAAUUUGUAGAAUUUGUCUUUGAUUAGGUCCUUGUCUAUGUUCCUUGGAACAGGACGUCAUAGAGGGUGAGAAUCCCGUUUGGCGAGGAUACCUUUUCUCUGUAAGACUUUUUCGAAGAGUCGAGUUGUUUGGGAAUGCAGCUCAAAGUGGGUGGUAAAUUCCAUCUAAAGCUAAAUAUUGGCGAGAGACCGAUAGCGAACAAGUACAGUGAUGGAAAGAUGAAAAGAACUUUGAAAAGAGAGUGAAAAAGUACGUGAAAUUGUUGAAAGGGAAGGGCAUUUGAUCAGACAUGGUGUUUUUGCAUGCACUCGCCUCUCGUGGGCGUGGGCCUCUCAAAAAUUUCACUGGGCCAACAUCAAUUCUGGCAGCAGGAUAAAUCAUUAAGAAUGUAGCUACUUCGGUAGUGUUAUAGCUUUUUGGAAUACUGUUAGCCGGGAUUGG
rnacentral:rRNA from 1 species